rnacentral:tRNA from 1 species
CAGAAGAUAGUUUAAAUAAAAUAUUAAUUUUGGAGAUUAAUGAUAAGGUAUCUUUCUUCUGA